rnacentral:rRNA from 1 species
UACGUAGGGUGCAAGCGUUGUCCGGAAUUAUUGGGCGUAAAGAGCUCGUAGGCGGUUUGUCACGUCGGCUGUGAAAACCCGAGGCUCAACCUCGGGCCUGCAGUCGAUACGGGCAGACUAGAGUUCGGUAGGGGAGACUGGAAUUCCUGGUGUAGCGGUGAAAUGCGCAGAUAUCAGGAGGAACACCGGUGGCGAAGGCAGGUCACUGGGCCGCAACUGACGCUGAGGAGCGAAAGCAUGGGGAGCGAACAGG